rnacentral:lncRNA from 1 species
GUUAGUGACAGCUGGCCUGCCACAGCACCUCUUUGUUGCUUCAUCUGUGACCGAAGAGGACGAGUGAGGAGUAGGACCCUUGCGAAGGUUUUAGAUGCAAGCUUAGGAGGAUGAGGGGCGCUGUCCGAGGUCUGAGAGGCAGCCCGCACCCUUUGCCUCUGAAAUAACUACUUUUUGGAGGUGCCAGAGGAGAGAAUCGGUGGAGCGCCCUCCUGGAGUGGGAUCACAGCACCACCCAAGCCUAGAAUCGUCAUCUUCUGGCCUACAGCACCCAGUAUUCCCAGGCAGUCUUCCAUCUAAGGACUAACCAGGCUUUAUCUUGCUUAGCUUCCAAGGCCAGGUGAGAUCGGAUGCAUUCAGGUUGGUAUAGCUGUAGAUAGCCCCACCUAUUUAUACCUUCACACUGGGGGUUAUGUCCCAACAUAGGAAUUUUUUUGGGACACCAACAUUCAGACCACAGCAGGAGUGUUGGAGACCAAUUAGAAUGUUGACAUUUGAUAAUUGCCCUCUUCAAAACUGGCUGAAGAGAAAGGAAUCUGACUGAUUUUUGAAGCUAGUGCUCUUUUGCAGGUGCCAUCACCUGUUUGUUGUGUGAACUUGCUCUCUGUCCUCCUGGAGUCAGCUACUAAAACUUCUCAUCCACAGUGCUGGCCCCUGAAUCCUGGCUAACAAAGCCUUACCCUAUGGACAGGAAGAGAAAUGAGACACAACGUUGCCCAGGAGCUGGGUAUUGGUGAUGACUCCAAGCCCUACUUCUCUUCCACUUGCUAGGGCUCUGCUUGCUCCAUUGGUUGCCAAAUCCACAUCUGGAUUUUCCUGUUCACUGGGCCCGUUUCGACUCAUGAUUUGCUUUGGACUUUCCACUUGGUUCUAUGCAUUGCUCUCUGUGAUGAUCCUGGUGGUUCAGCCUCUGCAUUUUGACACAGAAAGCCCCUGGUAGCAGUAUGGAUGGCCAUGUUGGCCUGGACCUGAAGAACACUGAAUCUCACCCACCAGGAACUGGACUCCCAAACUCCUGGCUGCUGACUCCAGGAAUUCCUAUAGCUAUAAAUGUCUACAUUGUUUUAUUUUGAUUCCACUUUGUUUAUUUGGAUCUGUGUAUCUGCCUCUGAACUCUGUAUCUUGUAUCUUUUAUUUUUAUUUUAUU